GGGUAAGUCUUACACGACCAGCUCCCUCCAAACUCCCCCAGGACUUGACCGUAGCAAGGGUAGGAGGUCGUAGCGGUGCGAUGUAAUCAGCUUACCCUUU
rnacentral:SRP_RNA from 1 species